rnacentral:rRNA from 1 species
CCUGGCUCAGGAUGAACGCUAGCUACAGGCUUAACACAUGCAAGUCGAGGGGCAGCAUGGUCUUAGCUUGCUAAGACUGAUGGCGACCGGCGCACGGGUGAGUAACACGUAUCCAACCUGCCGUCUACUCUUGGACAGCCUUCUGAAAGGAAGAUUAAUACAAGAUGGCAUCAUGAGUCCGCAUGUUCACAUGAUUAAAGGUAUUCCGGUAGACGAUGGGGAUGCGUUCCAUUAGAUAGUAGGCGGGGUAACGGCCCACCUAGUCUUCGAUGGAUAGGGGUUCUGAGAGGAAGGUCCCCCACAUUGGAACUGAGACACGGUCCAAACUCCUACGGGAGGCAGCAGUGAGGAAUAUUGGUCAAUGGGCGAGAGCCUGAACCAGCCAAGUAGCGUGAAGGAUGACUGCCCUAUGGGUUGUAAACUUCUUUUAUAAAGGAAUAAAGUCGGGUAUGGAUACCCGUUUGCAUGUACUUUAUGAAUAAGGAUCGGCUAACUCCGUGCCAGCAGCCGCGGUAAUACGGAGGAUCCGAGCGUUAUCCGGAUUUAUUGGGUUUAAAGGGAGCGUAGAUGGAUGUUUAAGUCAGUUGUGAAAGUUUGCGGCUCAACCGUAAAAUUGCAGUUGAUACUGGAUAUCUUGAGUGCAGUUGAGGCAGGCGGAAUUCGUGGUGUAGCGGUGAAAUGCUUAGAUAUCACGAAGAACUCCGAUUGCGAAGGCAGCCUGCUAAGCUGCAACUGACAUUGAGGCUCGAAAGUGUGGGUAUCAAACAGGGAUUAGAUACCCUGGUAGUCCACACGGUAAACGAUGAAUACUCGCUGUUUGCGAUAUACUGCAAGCGGCCAAGCGAAAGCGUUAAGUAUUCCACCUGGGGAGUACGCCGGCAACGGUGAAACUCAAAGGAAUUGACGGGGGCCCGCACAAGCGGAGGAACAUGUGGUUUAAUUCGAUGAUACGCGAGGAACCUUACCCGGGCUUAAAUUGCAGAUGAAUUACGGUGAAAGCCGUAAGCCGCAAGGCAUCUGUGAAGGUGCUGCAUGGUUGUCGUCAGCUCGUGCCGUGAGGUGUCGGCUUAAGUGCCAUAACGAGCGCAACCCUUGUUGUCAGUUACUAACAGGUUCCGCUGAGGACUCUGACAAGACUGCCAUCGUAAGAUGUGAGGAAGGUGGGGAUGACGUCAAAUCAGCACGGCCCUUACGUCCGGGGCUACACACGUGUUACAAUGGGGGGUACAGAGGGCCGCUACCACGCGAGUGGAUGCCAAUCCCCAAAACCUCUCUCAGUUCGGACUGGAGUCUGCAACCCGACUCCACGAAGCUGGAUUCGCUAGUAAUCGCGCAUCAGCCACGGCGCGGUGAAUACGUUCCCGGGCCUUGUACACACCGCC